UUAGGGGGCGCUAGUAUAAAUAGGAGCGGCCAUCUGAGCAUCCCCGAAUGGUGUAUCUGUCAUCUCUUCCCCCGGUGUUGCAGAGAUCACCCGUGGAUUCCUUUCCUGAAGCCCCCAUCGUGGCUGAUGCGGAGGGCCUGACGUGAAGGAGACUGGGGUGCCUUGGUGGUGGGAUCCUUUGAGUAUUACACACCUGUGCUUUUAGUUCACUAGUGCGAGUGUGUGACAGUGUGCUUCACUUGUGUAUCGUCUUUCCACGUGCAUCUCGUCCGCUGCAGCCGGCUGUUCGAUGAGAACAUUCAACUAAAUGUCUGAUCGAUAGGUGCUGGCAGCGCUCCCCGCUGCUGCUGCUGCCAGAAUACAGAGGAGGUGGAGAAGGUGGAGGCAGGGCUCAGACUCGUUAUGUAAGGUAUGUGUUGAUAUAAAACAGGAAGUCCUCGCCUCAUCUGGAGAAGCUAUUCCGCUCAUACUGACAGCAGGGAACCACCUGCAGAGUUUCUGCAGAUGGGACUUUGUUCGUCUUCGGUCCCCUGUGGAAUCCCAACAUGCUGUUUUCCUCUGAACUUUUUUUUUUCUUGUGUAGUACAACAAAAAAACACUCAACAACAUAUUUUCACAUUCAUCAUAUAGCACAGUAUAUGAAUGAAUGAUUCAUGAGUCUUUUAUAGUCAUGUUUAUGUGUUUGAAUCAUAUUGUGAAAAGUAAAACAUUUCUCACUCUUUUAAAUGCAUUACUUUGUGCUAAGUUGUAACACUGAGGCAGGUUUUGGUUUUUAUACAUGUACUUUGGCCAAUUAUAAUACAAUAGGGUCAAAAUAUUUUCCGCACAGCAAAAGUAGAGAGAGUCUGUUUCAAAUGAAGACGCAGCCGACUUGGCAAACAAAGAAUAAAUGCAGCAGAAUUCACACUUCUCCAAAAUCUGACUUCAUCAGUUAAAGACUUUAUCAGUUAAAAACUUCAUAAUGUCUGUCACAUGCACCUCUGUUGGAUAAGUUCUAGAAAAGUUCAGGGCUGAACUACGUGUGUGAAAACAGUGUUAUUUUCGAUUGAUUGAUUUUCAGCCACUCUUCCAGCAGAUCUCUUUAAUUUAUAACAUGUUUUCAAACUGUUUAAUUUUAACUGCUCUUACAAUCAGAAGAUUCUGAUGGGCUUUCUAAAAGUCUCAGACCAUCUUUCUUAAAAUAGUUGACUGGGGAUUUGGGGAUCUGAUCUGGACCCUUAUUUUCAUUCAUUGUCUUCAUUUAUUACAAGAAAUUUGCAGUCACACUAUUUUACACCAUUGACUGUAUGUAAAAGAUGAAUGUACAUGGUCUGAAAAGUGAAACCAGUGCUCAAGUUCCUUAAACCCACACCUUUCUAAUGGGCAGAAAGGGGCACCUUCUCUGGUUGUGUACACAUCCUUGGAAACGUGGCACUUGGCCCUGAGUCUGUGACAUAUGAUCCUGAAAUAAACAAUAACCAUUGAUUAGUUAAUGCCUUGCAAUUGAGCAGCAGUGUCCAGUUUCAAAAAGCCAAGACAAAAAAACAAACAAACAAAAAAA